rnacentral:rRNA from 1 species
AGAGUUUGAUCCUGGCUCAGGAUGAACGCUAGCGAUAGGCUUAACACAUGCAAGUCGAGGGGCAGCGAGGAAUAGCAAUAUUUUGUCGGCGACCGGCGCACGGGUGAGUAACACGUAUGCAACCUACCCAUAACUGGGGAAUAACCCGUCGAAAGGCGGACUAAUACCGCAUAACAAUCAAGAGCUGCAUGGUUUUUGAUUUAAAGAUUUAUCGGUUAUGGAUGGGCAUGCGUUCCAUUAGGUAGUUGGCGGGGCAACGGCCCACCAAGCCUUCGAUGGAUAGGGGUUCUGAGAGGAAGGUCCCCCACACUGGUACUGAGACACGGACCAGACUCCUACGGGAGGCAGCAGUGAGGAAUAUUGGUCAAUGGGCGAGAGCCUGAACCAGCCAAAUCGCGUGAAGGAUGAAGGUAUUAUGUAUUGUAAACUUCUUUUAUCAGGGAAUAAAGUGCAGCACGUGUGCUGUUUUGUAUGUACCUGAAGAAUAAGGAUCGGCUAACUCCGUGCCAGCAGCCGCGGUAAUACGGAGGAUCCAAGCGUUAUCCGGAUUUAUUGGGUUUAAAGGGUGCGUAGGCGGACUGUCAAGUCAGCGGUGAAAGUUUGCGGCUUAACCGUAAAAUUGCCGUUGGAACUGGCAGUCUUGAGUGUAGAUGAGGUGGGUGGAAUUCGUAGUGUAGCGGUGAAAUGCUUAGAUAUUACGAAGAACUCCGAUUGCGUAGGCAGCUCACUGGGCUACAACUGACGCUGAGGCACGAAGGUGCGGGGAUCAAACAGGAUUAGAUACCCUGGUAGUCCGCACAGUAAACGAUGAAUACUAGUUGUUUGCGAUACACAGCAAGUGACACAGCGAAAGCGUUAAGUAUUCCACCUGGGGAGUACGCCGGCAACGGUGAAACUCAAAUGAAUUGACGG